rnacentral:rRNA from 1 species
GACGAACGCUGGCGGCGUGCUUAACACAUGCAAGUCGAACGGAAAGGCCCUGCUUUUGGGGGGUGCUCGAGUGGCGAACGGGUGAGUAACACGUGAGUAACCUGCCCUUGACUUUGGGAUAACUUCAGGAAACUGGGGCUAAUACCGGAUAGGAGCUCCUGCUGCAUGGUGGGGGUGGGAAAGUGUCGGCGGUUGGGGAUGGACUCGCGGCUUAUCAGCUUGUUGGUGGGGUAGUGGCUUACCAAGGCUUUGACGGGUAGCCGGCCUGAGAGGGUGACCGGCCACAUUGGGACUGAGAUACGGCCCAGACUCCUACGGGAGGCAGCAGUGGGGAAUAUUGCACAAUGGGCGGAAGCCUGAUGCAGCAACGCCGCGUGCGGGAUGACGGCCUUCGGGUUGUAAACCGCUUUCGCCUGUGACGAAGCGUGAGUGACGGUAAUGGGUAAAGAAGCACCGGCUAACUACGUG